rfam:Ricinus communis cultivar Hale ctg_1100012362393, whole genome shotgun sequence.
AAUUGGUGAUGAGGACAUUUCCUAAGCAACUCCUUAUAUCUCUCCCAAGACUCAUAAAAAGUUUCCCCCUCUUGUUGACAAAAGGUAGAGAUAUCAUUUCUAAGCUU